CCCAUAAGAGUUGGUGUCGUGGCAGUUUGUAAUUGGUCGAUGGAUGUUUUAUGAAACGGAAAAAAAAAUGUCGUGUUUCUCUUUCUUUUCUUGGAGACUUGGAGUUUUUCUUAUGCACUGCUUUCUCGCCGAGAUCGAAAUCUCAUCCGAUUUCGUUCAAAUCUAAAGCAAUCGGUAACAAAUCUGAGGGCUUUAUUCACCCAUCUCAUUAUCUCCACAAGUAUCAGCAUCGGGUAUGAUUGGCGAAGCUAAUUGGCAAGUUCCAGAGGAGCAAUCGGAGCUUUGAAAUCACCAAACCAUAGGGUUUCUUCACCAAAUCGCAAGUGUUCUUCACAAAUAUCUUUGUCCUGAGACUUUAGAGAACUGAGAAGCAUCCAUUCAACAAUGGAGGCUGCGAUUUGUGGGAGAUUAGCUCUCGCAGCAUCCUCUCUCUUUAAUUCUAAAUCAGGAGAUACGAUUGAUUAGGGACACACCGACCAUUCUUGGAUGCCAAACAUUGACGAGGUUCAUUUACAGUCAGGUUGUGGAAGACAUCAGUAGUUGUGAAGAUACCACUUGUGCCGACAUCAAGACAGCAUUUGGUUUUUUGUGCCGACACCACAAAUCAUAUUCUUCUUUAUGACACUUUUGUAUGAUUUAUUGUAGACCACAAAACAAUAUUUCCAUGUGAAUUUUUUUUUGUUUUGUAUGAGUUUGUAGCUUUCUCUCAUUCAACCAACAAGGCAAAAUUUUCUCUAUAUA